rnacentral:ncRNA from 1 species
ACUAGGGUGUAUUAUAGUGAAGUCCAGUAGGCAAAGCUUCUGACCCGAAGGAUGGUAAACUAUGCUUGUAAAGGAUGAAGCCAGAGGAAACUCUGGUGGAGGACCAUAGCGAUCCUGACGUGCAAAUCGAUCGUAUAACGUGAAUGUAGGGCGAAAGAGUAAUCGAAUCAUUUAGUAGCUGGUUCCCUGUGAAGUUUCCCUCAGGAUAGCUGUCAUUCUGAGAUAUAAACAGUUUGAUCCGGUAAAGCGAAUGAUUAGAGGCAUUGGGGAGAAAACAUCUUCAACCUAUUCUCAAACUUUAAAUUGGCGAGAAGCUUAACUCGCUUAAAUAGAGUUUUGCAUUGAAUGUGGUUGCCAAGUGGGCCAUUUUUGGUAAGCAGAACUGGCGCUGUGGGAUGAACCAAACCUGCGAUUAAGGUGCCUAACGUGAUGCUCAUGAGAUACCACAAAAGGUGUUGGUAGGUCCAGACAGCAGGACAGUGACCAUAGAAGUCGGAAACCGCUAAGGAGUGUGUAACGACUCACCUACCGAAUUAACCAGCCCUGAAAAUGGAUGGGGCUCGAACGUUGGACCUAUACUGUACCGUUGCAGCAAGCUGGGCCUAAGCAUGGUGAGAGCAAACUGAAUUGGCCCAGGCAUGGAGUGGAGGCGACAAGUAGGAGAGUCGCUGUGGCUAGCGGGAAGCCUCAGGCGUAAGCCUUGGUGAAGCAAGCACAGGCGCAGAUCUUGGUGGUAGUAGUGAAUAUUCAAGUAAGAACCUUGAAAUCCGAAGUGGAGAAGGGCUCCAUGGGAACAGCAGUUGGCCAUGGGUCAGGCGGUCCUAAGUGAUCCGCUAAAUCAGAACAGAAACGGGGUGCCUGAAACUGUCCGCUUGCAGGCUUUGCUGGUAUUGCUGCUGUCGGAAAGGGCUGAAAUUUGAACAAAAAGGGAUUCACAGAAUUUCUUCAUAUUUUACCCAGUGGAGAUUUCUGAUAUAGUAAUAAUUUUGCU